GUUACAUAAACUGUUGCAAAACAAUGGAGUCAUUUUCCGUUAAGGGUUGGAAAUCCUGUCGCUCUCAGCAUACUAAAAACAGUACUGUCAUUGCCUCCUCUUCUGCCGCCGCACACCAGUAGACCUCCUUUUCCGGCGCUGUUUCCCACAGCCCGCCAGUACUAGGCUGACUGACUUAUCUAAGACCCAGGCUGACUUGUUACCUUGGUUAUGAGCCGAGCGUGUUUUAUCCACAUGCUGUUCAUGCUACAGUAUAUGAUCUGGUAGCAGCUAACAUAGCCGAAACUCGUCAUUAUCCAGUAAUAUAAUCCCCUGAUUGGUGCCUUAGGGCCAGAAGGGGGCAUAGGAGCCAGCAGGAGUGUGCCAGUACUCACUGAAUAUUUAUUUUCAUAAGCGCAAACAUUGGUCAACCAAAUCUGAGGCAGUCGUCAUUUAAAAAUAAAUUGUUUCAUGAAAAGCCAAGAUGCGCCAGCAGUAUUUUGACUAGACGUGCUGUGCACGCCGCGUUUUUGUACAGAUGGAGGCAGGCCUCUAGAGGAAGUGCAACUAAGCCAAAUCCAGAAGCUAGCCAAGACCGUGAGAGGCCGAGACAGCCCUUUGAAAGUAUGUCUGCCCUGGGGGGCCGCGUUUGGCUUGGAUGCAGGCAGCUGAGGAGCCUUGCAGUAGAUAAGCGCUCCUGGAUGUCUGGACAGCCAUGACGAAGCAGAGGGUUAAUGGAGGACCUCUCUGCAUAGUCUGUCUGGGCUUCCAGCCGGCGUUUUCUUGGAAGACAACUCUAGGUCUGGGGUUUGCCCGAUAUGGCAUGUUGGGUCUUGGACUGGUUGUUUGUAGACGUUUCUUAAGUCGAAUAUGCCU